CAGUAGCCGCGGUAAAACGUAGGUCCCGAGCGUUGUCCGGAUUUAUUGGGCGUAAAGCGAGCGCAGGCGGUUAGAUAAGUCUGAAGUUAAAGGCUGUGGCUUAACCAUAGUACGCUUUGGAAACUGUUUAACUUGAGUGCAAGAGGGGAGAGUGGAAUUCCAUGUGUAGCGGUGAAAUGCGUAGAUAUAUGGAGGAACACCGGUGGCGAAAGCGGCUCUCUGGCUUAUAACUGACGCUGAGGCUCGAAAGCGUGGGGAGCAAACAGGAUUAGAUACCCGCGUAGUCCCUGUCUCUUAUACA
rnacentral:rRNA from 1 species